rnacentral:rRNA from 1 species
UUUAUGGAGAGUUUGAUCCUGGCUCAGGAUGAACGCUGGCGGCGUGCCUAAUACAUGCAAGUCGAGCGAACAGAUGAGAAGCUUGCUUCUCUGAUGUUAGCGGCGGACGGGUGAGUAACACGUGGAUAACCUACCUAUAAGACUGGGAUAACUUCGGGAAACCGGAGCUAAUACCGGAUAAUAUUUUGAACCGCAUGGUUCAAAAGUGAAAGACGGUCUUGCUGUCACUUAUAGAUGGAUCCGCGCUGCAUUAGCUAGUUGGUAAGGUAACGGCUUACCAAGGCAACGAUGCAUAGCCGACCUGAGAGGGUGAUCGGCCACACUGGAACUGAGACACGGUCCAGACUCCUACGGGAGGCAGCAGUAGGGAAUCUUCCGCAAUGGGCGAAAGCCUGACGGAGCAACGCCGCGUGAGUGAUGAAGGUCUUCGGAUCGUAAAACUCUGUUAUUAGGGAAGAACAUAUGUGUAAGUAACUGUGCACAUCUUGACGGUACCUAAUCAGAAAGCCACGGCUAACUACGUGCCAGCAGCCGCGGUAAUACGUAGGUGGCAAGCGUUAUCCGGAAUUAUUGGGCGUAAAGCGCGCGUAGGCGGUUUUUUAAGUCUGAUGUGAAAGCCCACGGCUCAACCGUGGAGGGUCAUUGGAAACUGGAAAACUUGAGUGCAGAAGAGGAAAGUGGAAUUCCAUGUGUAGCGGUGAAAUGCGCAGAGAUAUGGAGGAACACCAGUGGCGAAGGCGACUUUCUGGUCUGUAACUGACGCUGAUGUGCGAAAGCGUGGGGAUCAAACAGGAUUAGAUACCCUGGUAGUCCACGCCGUAAACGAUGAGUGCUAAGUGUUAGGGGGUUUCCGCCCCUUAGUGCUGCAGCUAACGCAUUAAGCACUCCGCCUGGGGAGUACGACCGCAAGGUUGAAACUCAAAGGAAUUGACGGGGACCCGCACAAGCGGUGGAGCAUGUGGUUUAAUUCGAAGCAACGCGAAGAACCUUACCAAAUCUUGACAUCCUUUGACAACUCUAGAGAUAGAGCCUUCCCCUUCGGGGGACAAAGUGACAGGUGGUGCAUGGUUGUCGUCAGCUCGUGUCGUGAGAUGUUGGGUUAAGUCCCGCAACGAGCGCAACCCUUAAGCUUAGUUGCCAUCAUUAAGUUGGGCACUCUAAGUUGACUGCCGGUGACAAACCGGAGGAAGGUGGGGAUGACGUCAAAUCAUCAUGCCCCUUAUGAUUUGGGCUACACACGUGCUACAAUGGACAAUACAAAGGGCAGCGAAACCGCGAGGUCAAGCAAAUCCCAUAAAGUUGUUCUCAGUUCGGAUUGUAGUCUGCAACUCGACUACAUGAAGCUGGAAUCGCUAGUAAUCGUAGAUCAGCAUGCUACGGUGAAUACGUUCCCGGGUCUUGUACACACCGCCCGUCACACCACGAGAGUUUGUAACACCCGAAGCCGGUGGAGUAACCUUUUAGGAGCUAGCCGUCGAAGGUGGGACAAAUGAUUGGGGUGAAGUCGUAACAAGGUAGCCGUAUCGGAAGGUGCGGCUGGAUCACCUCCUUU